GUUGGUGGGUUUCGAUUCUUAGCAGUAAGGUUUUAUCGUUUCCUACUCUAUUUUCUUGUGGGUUUGUUUGUUGGGUUUUUGGGGGUUGCAAAAUUUCAUUAGUAUGGUAUGAAAUUUGUAAAAUUUUAUAUUAUCUAAUUAAUCCACUAUGCUUUAAGAGAGGUUCAAGAUGUGUUUGGUGUUCCUCCAAUGACUUAGGAUUUGCGUAGUAGUUGUU
rnacentral:lncRNA from 1 species